rnacentral:rRNA from 1 species
CUUGCUCUUCUUGGAUGAGUUGCGAACGGGUGAGUAACGCGUAGGUAACCUGCCUUGUAGCGGGGGAUAACUAUUGGAAACGAUAGCUAAUACCGCAUAACAAUGGAUGACACAUGUCAUUUAUUUGAAAGGGGCAAUUGCUCCACUACAAGAUGGACCUGCGUUGUAUUAGCUAGUAGGUGAGGUAACGGCUCACCUAGGCGACGAUACAUAGCCGACCUGAGAGGGUGAUCGGCCACACUGGGACUGAGACACGGCCCAGACUCCUACGGGAGGCAGCAGUAGGGAAUCUUCGGCAAUGGGGGCAACCCUGACCGAGCAACGCCGCGUGAGUGAAGAAGGUUUUCGGAUCGUAAAGCUCUGUUGUAAGUCAAGAACGAGUGUGAGAGUGGAAAGUUCACACUGUGACGGUAGCUUACCAGAAAGGGACGGCUAACUACGUGCCAGCAGCCGCGGUAAUACGUAGGUCCCGAGCGUUGUCCGGAUUUAUUGGGCGUAAAGCGAGCGCAGGCGGUUUGAUAAGUCUGAAGUUAAAGGCUGUGGCUCAACCAUAGUUCGCUUUGGAAACUGUCAAACUUGAGUGCAGAAGGGGAGAGUGGAAUUCCAUGUGUAGCGGUGAAAUGCGUAGAUAUAUGGAGGAACACCGGUGGCGAAAGCGGCUCUCUGGUCUGUAACUGACGCUGAGGCUCGAAAGCGUGGGGAGCGAACAGGAUUAGAUACCCUGGUAGUCCACGCCGUAAACGAUGAGUGCUAGGUGUUGGAUCCUUUCCGGGAUUCAGUGCCGCAGCUAACGCAUUAAGCACUCCGCCUGGGG